CGUCCCUCUCCUUUCUUUCUCCUCUCCUUUCUUUCUCCUCUCCUUUCCAGUGGAACAGAAUGUGUAAUGCAGCAAAGAAAGUAACCACAUUAGGAAGAAAGGAACAUCAUCAACACUGUAGUGAAGAAGAUUCCUCUCUUUUGACGGCUUUUAGUAAAGUCAUGAGCAUGACUCAUGGUGAUACCAUGUAGGUUCUAUGUCCAUUUUAAACCCAUCAUUAUGGAAAGGAAAUGGAACACCUUAAUUGGCCAAGCCUGAGUUAAAUGUUAAUGUUAAAGAGGUAGUAGAAAUGAGAUACAGAGUGAGUUAGCUUCAUCCAAACUGGAUAGAAUAUCAGGGAAGAGAGUUUAGAAAGAAGGAAGAGAUUUAUAAUAAGCUAUGCACAGUUAUGCUUUGUGUGCAUUAUGGAUACAGUGGAAUGACUAAUUUUACAAUUAAUUUACAUUAAUUUCCUUCUACAUACUUGGAAAACCCAAGGUAUAGAAACAUAUAAAACAAGAUACCUUUAUCUAUCUCCCUCCCUUCCUCCCUCUCUCUCUCUCUCUUUCAUCUAUCUACACUUUUAUUUAUCCCAGCAACUUGGCCUUUAUUAUCCUAACGAAAUAAAAUCCUCAGCCUUAAAAGAAAGUUAAAAAAAAAAAAAAAAGAUAAUCCAGUACUUCUGAGUAUCCAAGGUCUUGGGUUCCAAUAAUAGAUUUCACUUUAUGAGAUGUUUUGGUUUUUUUUCCAACUUAUACAUUAACUUUUCAGUCUAAUUCCCAAGUAAAUUAUCCCCUCCACAUCAUAUACCCUCCAAUAUAUAUGCAUAUAUAUGAGGCCAUUCUUCUGUGUUCGAAGCCUCAUAAUCAAGAAAUGAGUUAAAACAUCUAUCCUAACGAGGUUCCUGGGUGGCUCAGUCUGUUAAGCUUUCCACUUCAGCUCAGGUGAUGAUCUAACAGUUCGGUUGGUGGCUUCAAGUCUCACAUCGGGCUAUGCACUGACAGCGUAAAACCUGUUUCACAUCUGUGUCUCCCUCUCUCUCUGCCCCUCUCAUGUGCACUCUCUCUCUUAAAACUAAAUAAACAUUAAAAAAAACAAAAAAAUCUACCCUAGUGACAUUCUACCUUGAAUUUUGGCAACAACUUCAAAUUAUGUUUUUUUGUUUUUGGGGUUUUUUUUGUUUUUUUUUGCUUUAUUUUUGUACUUAAACUCUAUUCUGCGGUACCUCAUGAACACAAAUGUCUUUUACGCAAUUUUAUGCAGUCACUCUAUUGUCCUGAAGAUGGAAGCCAAAGUCCUGGGUCGAAGAUGUAAGAUUUUCACCACUUGAACCUAAUAUACAUUUUGUAUGGAUUAAAAAAAAAAUGCAAAAGCCUAACAGCUCCAUACAUCAAUAGUUCUAAAAAUGUAGGAAGCCUAACAUUUGUAGAUUUUGCUAAAAAUUGAGAAUUCUAGGCUUUACCAGAUCCAGAUACUGAUUCAAGAGGUUUGGCAUAUGGCCAUCAAAUCUAUAUUCUAAGUGAACAUUUUUGUUAGUCAAGAUAGGUUAGUUUCCAUUGCAGUAACAGGCAAACCUCCAAAGUUGAUAUUCUACUUGACAAAACAUACAAAUAGGUCAGUUAGAUACUCCUCUCUAGGACCAACGCAGAAAUGUUACCAUUCACUUCACCUGAGGAAAAGAGAAUGUGUUGAACUGCUUACUAGCCCUUAAAACUUCCCCCCGGAAAUGUUUUUAUUUUAUUAGAUGAAACAAGUUUUGUGGCAAUAUCUAAACUCAAAGUGAUAGGGAACUAUUUGGUGAACAGUAUUUAUGUAGCUAUUCUGAGGACUUCAUUUGAAGACACAGGUACCCUAUUAUUUAUUCUGAAAUAGCUUGUUCAUUAAGUUUCAAAACCUGCCUUCAGUUUUCCUCAGUGCAUUUGAAUACCCAUUGCUCAUGCUGAAUUUUUCUUCUGUUUCUAGGUGCACAAGAACUUCCAACUAUACGUUUAUCUUCUGCAACUAAGAAGUCAAAAGACAUUUCGUGCUCAAUAAUUUAUUUGCUUUUAUUGUAUUUUUAAUGCUCAACUUGUCAAAAAUCAUUAAUAUAUCUAUACCAUAAAAUAUAAUCUUAUUUUUAAGAAAAAAAAAUCUUUCAGCAAUCAAUUCAGGGCAAAAGAGAUAUCAAGAAAAGUAGUCUUAUCUGCUCAGUGGACUCCAACUAUUAAUAGAUUAUUUUCCAAAAAUUUCUUUAUAAAUCAGUUGUUUGAAAAUCUUUUAGAUUUCUCCAGUGGGACAAUAUUAUAGCGAUUGAGAUUUCUGGGAGAGUAUUCCAAUGCCUAUUUAACUCCUUAGGCUAUAUGUUCAAAAUGAAACACUGUAAAGUAAAUUUGUAUACUAUAAAACGAAACACCUUUACAAUGCUACUAAUUCAAUAAAACAAACAAAAAAAGUGCUAAAAUUCAAAGAAUAUAUUGUCUAUAUUUUAAGCUAAUACUGAGACAAGCUUUUUUAAUUAGGGGAGAAUGAAAAGGUAGGUAGAGAUUUUACAGAUGUUUUGAAGGGAAUUAGGAAUAUUUUCAAGGAUUUAUAUGUUAUUGGCAGUGGUUCUUGAUUAUUCCUAAUUGCCACUUCAAAUUAUAUGAUGUUCUUGCCUUAAAACAGGUAUGUCACUAACCACUAAAAUUUCAAACAAUGAUUAUCCCACUGUUUGAAUCAUGAUUGCAAUAAUGAAGGUGAGAAUAAAAAAGUUAAUGAGGAAGGAAAUAAAGAGAGAAAAUACACCAUACUAACUGGGAAAGAGUUUUAACAGAUAAAGGAGAAAACAAUAAAAUGCAAGUGGAUGUGUUCUGUUGUGAAACAUUAUGUGAGGGGGAAUACCUGAGCUGGUACUGGUAAACUAAAGAGGAGAAAAGGAGCAGGCUCCAUUUGAGAGAAGAAUAAAGUUGGUUGUGGUAUAGAAACAUUGGAGUCAGACACCUUAGAGCAGGAGACAAGGGAAGAGUAGAAUUACUCUCUUGAUAUUUAAAGUAAUGAGUCUGAGUGGGACUUGAGCUUGUACAAUGAUGUACUGGGUGAGAAGCAGACAGAGGAAUGAGAUAAGAAGGGGCAUAAAAGAGCUUUUCUUUAGUAUUGAACGAUGAUACAAGGUAUGUGUCAUCUAUUCAGCCUCUUGAAGUUGAGGCAGGGGUUCCCACAGCCCCACACCCUGUUAAUGAGCCUAGCACAGAAUCUAUACCUGCUUUUCAUUUGUCCAUCCGUGAGGUCUGACAGCCUUCUGCGUGGUUAAGUUAGCUUUAUGCCUCCACCUCCCAGCCCUCCUAUUUUACCUGAAUCCCAUUUCUGGGUGCAAUCCUGGGAAUUUCCUCCGAGGAGAUCAUAAAUUAGAUUGGAACUAGGACUAUUAACAAACACAAAACCAGGGAAAAACUGGAUUUGCAACAAUCCCUGGGGGCCGUGACUUUAUUCAAAUGAAUCAAGUGUGUAUUGAGUGCUGACUUCUGGAUCAAAUGCUAUGCUAUGAAAUUUCACAUUUAUAAUUUCUAUUUAACAUUUAAUCAGUUUUUGGUGAUUAUAUUUUCAGCAACCAUAUACAGGUGCUAGAGGGCUAACUGGCAUAGAUUCAGGUUCAAGUUAGAGAAGGCAGAAACCAGAGCAAGAUCAUGACAGCUGGGGACCACUGGAGAGGAACACUGACACUCUAACAACAAAAUGGACAACUCCAGUGGACCAAAAUAAGUUGACUAUACCCGAAAUGAUGGAAGAAACGGCGCAAACAUUAACCCUGAAGGGAGAAGGAAGAGAAGAGUCAUAUGUCUUUUGGCUUCAUUAUGGUGACAAAGACAGUUCUGGACGCCUUGCCCAUGCUUGGUACCUGCUAACCUAUUGACUCGAAUACAUGCGGUCUAUAUACACGGGCUCUCUUUUGCUUAUACAACCCAAAGUGAGUUGACUUUGAGGCCAGAAGCCAUAGACUUGAAAGGUAAAGUCAGAGACAAACGAGGCUGAAGCUGUAAGGACAAAGGAAAUUAGGGGACCCUUGCUUACCUCAGAUACAGAGCAGGUAUGUGUUAGAAAUGUUUGUGCUUACUAAUUAAAUACAUUUCAUUUCCUCUUACAUCUUUUUUGCUUAACUAAGGAGAAAAUGUGCAUUAUUUAUAGGAACUAAAGAUAAUGAAAACACAAAGAAAAGGAACCAUUUUGAUUCAAAUCUUGGCAAAUAUCCAACUUGCAAUAACUUGAAGAUUUCAUAUUAUUACGUGCACACACACACAAAAAUAAAGCCUAAUGCUCAUCCAAGCAUAUUUCAAUCAAAACUCUCUCUGGGAACCUUCCUACUGACAAUACAAUUUCGUGCAAAAUAAACAAUAAGAUGCAAAAACUACAGUAAGCAGUUUAGGAAAUUACAUAUCAAAUAUCUUCUUAAGAGC